GAUGAACGCUAGCGGCAGGCUUAAUACAUGCAAGUCGUGGGGCAGCAGGACUGUAGCAAUACAGUUGCUGGCGACCGGCAAACGGGUGCGGAACACGUACGCAAUCUACCCAGAACUGGUGAAUAGCCCUCCGAAAGGAGGAUUAAUACACCGUAAUAUUAUAAAGUGGCAUCACUUAAUAAUUAAAGCUCCGGCGGUUUUGGAUGGGCGUGCGGCCCAGUAGGUAGUUGGCUGAGGUAAUGGCUCACCAAGCCUGCGAUGGGUAACUGGUGUGAGAGCACGACCAGUCACACGGGCACUGAGACACGGGCCCGACUCCUACGGGAGGCAGCAGUAAGGAAUAUUGGUCAAUGGACGCAAGUCUGAACCAGCCAUGCCGCGUGGAGGAUGAAGGCCCUCUGGGUUGUAAACUUCUUUUAUGGGGGACGAAAUCACUUAUUCUUAAGUGUCUGACGGUACCCCAGGAAUAAGCACCGGCUAACUCCGUGCCAGCCGCCGCCGUAA
rnacentral:rRNA from 1 species